AGUACAUAGACUCCCAAAGCAAUUGUGCCCAGUGAUCAUGAGGGGACAUGCCAAACCAUUUAUGAAAAUUCAAAAUGUAUGCACACAAAACAACAACAUACAUUUCACAAAAGCUUUUAUUUUUAAAGGCACACAUUAAACACAUUAGGACAUUUAUCUCUGGGUUAAGAGGAAAAACAGGAAUGGAGAUAAAAGAAACUAAAGAAAACGAGAAGGGUUUUGAAUCAUGAAAGCAUAUCAUGGGGAUAAUAACAACAGCAGAGGCAAAGGCAAAAGAACAAGAGGGGCCCUGAGGUGACCUCAAGGCCCCGCCCCACCACAUUCUGACACUUCCAAUUUUGGAUGUUUAAUUAAUAGAACUAAUCAAGAUACCAGUUCAUCAGUUCUUCCCAACUUGAUCUAUAGAAGCAAUGCAAACCCAGUCAAAAUCCUGGCAACUUAUUUUAUGGAUAUCAACAAACUGCUUCUAAAGCUUAUAUGACAAAGCAAAAAACCCAGAACAGGCAACACAAUAUUGAAGGAGAAGAGCCAAGUGAGAGGACUGACAUCACCCACCUUCAAGGCUUACUCUGAAGUUACAGCAGUCAAGAUGGUGCGGAACUGGAACUAAUCAGGAGCACCGGAUGGUCUUUGCACCUGAACUCUCUGCACGGUUGUCACCUGGGGGGCAGUAGUGCAGAAGCUCUGGCAGCUGGACCCACCCGGUACCUCUGCUCUGAGCACACGCCCAGGCCUGGAGCCUUCUCCGCCACUCUGGAGUGACUGACCUCUUGAAUGAGUGGCCUCAUGUGGCAAACAGGCUCCACCCUACUGUCACCCUGGGAAAGAACCAGGAGCCCAGUGCUUUCCUUCUUGUACAUUGGCCCCAAGUAAAGAGAAGG